GUAGGGAAUUUUGGGCAAUGGGGGAAACCCUGACCCAGCAACGCCGCGUGAGUGAAGAAGGCCUUCGGGUCGUAAAGCUCUGUCAGGUGGGAAGAACAAAGCCCGUUUAACAAGCGGGCCUUGACCGCCACCAAAGGAAGCACCGGCUAACUCCGUGCCAGCAGCCGCGGUAAUACGGAGGGUGCAAGCGUUGUCCGGAAUCAUUGGGCGUAAAGGGCGUGUAGGCGGCCCGGCAAGUCUGAUGUGAAAGCCCCCGGCUCAACCGGGGAAGUGCAUUAGAAACUGCCGGGCUUGAGUGCGGGAGAGGAAGGUGGAAUUCCCAGUGUAGCGGUGAAAUGCGUAGAUAUUGGGAGGAACACCGGUUGCGAAGGCGGCCUUCUGGACCGCCACUGACGCUGAGACGCGAAAGCGUGGGGAGCAAACAGGAUUAGAUACCCGAGUAGUCC
rnacentral:rRNA from 1 species